CUAGACUUGACAUCUCCUGCAUUACCCUUAAUCGGGGAAGUUCCUUCGGGAACAGGAAGACAGGUGGUGCAUGGUUGUCGUCAGCUCGUGUCGUGAGAUGUUGGGUUAAGUCCCGCAACGAGCGCAACCCUUAUUGUUAGUUGCUACCAUUUAGUUGAGCACUCUAGCGAGACUGCCCGGGUUAACCGGGAGGAAGGUGGGGAUGACGUCAAAUCAUCAUGCCCCUUAUGUCUAGGGCUACACACGUGCUACAAUGGCAAGUACAAAGAGAAGCAAGACCGCGAGGUGGAGCAAAACUCAAAAACUUGUCUCAGUUCGGAUUGUAGGCUGAAACUCGCCUACAUGAAGCUGGAGUUGCUAGUAAUCGCGAAUCAGCAUGUCGCGGUGAAUA
rnacentral:rRNA from 1 species